rnacentral:tRNA from 1 species
GGCAAGGUGGCCGAGUGGUUAAGGCGUCAGCCUCGAAAGCUGAUUCCCUAGGGAGCGCCGUCGAAUCCGGUUCUCAUUU